GUCAGUAAGGGACACACAGAAAGGAUCUGGUACGUAGAUAGAGUGCACAAGAUAGCUGACCAGUACUUUCUCAGAUGAACAACGAACACAUAGACACAAAGCAUAUUCAGUUCUACCACAUCAUAUCCACAGAUGUAUCCUGUUGUUUUUAUUCUUCUCCAGCUCGAAGCAGUUAGCAACAAAUAAAUGCAGUGAAAAAUUGUGUAUAUCACCAGCAAACGCAAGUCCCGUAAAUAAAUUAUGUAAACUAUAAAUCGAUGCCAUUCCAUUAUUUACUUGGAAGGCAUCCACAUGCCUAUCGCAUCUGUUUACCUCAACACAUUCUGAUACACCUUUUCCACUACACAUACACAGAUUAACUGGGGAACACUGAAACUAACUAUAGUCAACCUAUUUGACUGGUAAUGACUGGUCAGCUAUAUGUACUAAUAGGAUUAUAUCCUUCUUGUCUUGAUCAUAGUUUUAAUGUCUACUUUUCCAUGUUUGCAUCAGACAAGAUUCAUUGAAGUAGAUCUUCUAUUGCUUGAUGCUCUUCCUGUUGCCAACCUCCAUCUAUUUCCAAGCAAGGCAAUAUUUUCCACUAGCUCAGACAUGUUUUCCCAGGAAAUUGCAAAGAAAUAGUACCACUCAAAUGAUGGUGAUGUUUGUUUACAGUCAGUGUUUGAUGUCAGAACAAGACAGAAACACACACACAUACACACUGAAACGUUAACAAUGGUUUCUUUCCAGUUUUUGUCCAGCAAAUUUACUUACAAGGCUUUAGUUGGCCCAAAACUUAAGUAGAAGACAUUUAUCCAAGUGCUGUGUAGUGGGGUUGAACCUGAAAUGACAUGGUUGUGUAGCAACUCAAGGUACUAAUCCAAUACAUUGAAUUUCAUAUUUCCCAAUCAACUACAUUAUUUUCCCAGAAUGCACAGUCAUCGCUGUGUGGUUAAGAAGGUGAUUUCCUAACUACAAGCAAGUAUCUUCUACUAUAGCACUGGACUAACUAAAGCUUUCUGAAUGUAUUUGGUAGAUGGAAACUGAAAGAAGCCCAUUGCAUUUGUGUGUGUAUGCAUUUGUGUCUCCUUGUCUUGACAUUAAAUGAUAGUUGUAAGCAUACAAGCAGUUUCAUUCCUUUCCAUUCUUCUGUGAAAACAUGCCAGCCAAGGUAAACUACUAUCUCACUUGGGAAGAGGUGAGGGUUAGUGACAGGAAAAGCAUCUGGUUGUUGAAAUUUGCCUCAUCAAAUUCUAUCUAACCCAUAUGCAAGCAAAGAAGAGUGGAUGUUAAAACAAUGACAAUGAUGAUGACAAAUACGCUCACAUACAUGUUCAACUCACCUUGGUUUCAGCAGCAUCCUGAAAAAUAUUCUGCAAUCUUUGGUAAUAUAACUCAUAUUCUUCAUUGGUUGCGAUACUACCUUCAUCCAUUAGAUCACCAAGGAAAAGAAUGAUAUCUGGUGAGGAGUGGAGAAAUGCCAUACUAAAUGAACGGCUUAUAUACCUGGAAGGGAA